rnacentral:rRNA from 1 species
UACGGAGGGCGCAAGCGUUGCUCGGAAUCACUGGGCGUAAAGGGUGCGUAGGUGGUCGCGCAAGUCGGGUGUGAAAGCCCUCGGCUCAACCGAGGAAUUGCAUUCGAUACUGCGUGACUUGAGUGCGGUAGAGGGAAACGGAAUUCCUGGUGUAGCGGUGAAAUGCGUUGAUAUCAGGAGGAACACCAGCGGCGAAGGCGGUUUCCUGGGCCGUAACUGACACUGAGGCACGAAAGCGUCGGGUAGCAAACCGG